AGUGAACGCUGGCGGUAGGCCUAACACAUGCAAGUCGAACGGCAGCACAGUAAGAGCUUGCUCUUACGGGUGGCGAGUGGCGGACGGGUGAGGAAUACAUCGGAAUCUACUUUUUCGUGGGGGAUAACGUAGGGAAACUUACGCUAAUACCGCAUACGACCUACGGGUGAAAGCAGGGGAUCUUCGGACCUUGCGCGGUUGAAUGAGCCGAUGUCGGAUUAGCUAGUUGGCGGGGUAAAGGCCCACCAAGGCGACGAUCCGUAGCUGGUCUGAGAGGAUGAUCAGCCACACUGGAACUGAGACACGGUCCAGACUCCUACGGGAGGCAGCAGUGGGGAAUAUUGGACAAUGGGCGCAAGCCUGAUCCAGCCAUACCGCGUGGGUGAAGAAGGCCUCGGGUUGUAAAGCCCUUUUGUUGGGAAAGAAAAGCAGCAGGUUAAUACCCCGCUGUUCUGACGGUACCCAAAGAAUAAGCACCGGCUAACUUCGUG
rnacentral:rRNA from 1 species